rnacentral:lncRNA from 1 species
GCACGCGGCCUCGUGGUCGCCAGCCCGCGUAUCUCCGGCCGGCGCGACACUAGGCCAGCGCUGGUGGCUCGGAGGUGAAGCCCCGCCGUCUCUGAAGACGGUUAAGGGGGUCUUUACCCUCAAGACUAGGGCUGUCCGCGAGUGAGACUCAAACGCUGAGGUGAAAACAUCCGCGGAAUAUGGAGACCGAACCACACACAGGCCGACCCCAGAGGCGAUAACCCCAAAGAAACUCCUUUCCCAUCGAGGAGAUGGACUGAACCCAAUCAGUUAUCCAGAGGGAUAGAAAGCAGGGUGUGAUGACACAGACCAGGCCAUAGUCCUAUCACUGGGAAGCAGAGGCAGGAAGACGAAGACUUCAAGACAAUGGAAGAAGGUGUUACUGGAGUUAGAGACUCUAGUGAAGCCCAGGUGGAUGCUGGAAAUCAAAUCCCCAGUCUUCAGGAAGACCAGUCAGCCUUGUAACUACUGAACCAUCUGGAUCCUGAUCCAGCCCCUCAACUAUAAUGUUAAUUGAUGUCCUUAUCCCAUGGCUUCUGUGAAUCCAUACACUGCUCAAGGAAAGCAAAACCUGUCACUUGCAGAAACCGACAUCUACAAAGUUUACAUUCUGUCUUCCAAAACCAUCUCCCUUUCCCCUAUAUGCAGAUGGACACACAGUAUAAGGGAGAAGAUUCCAACCUUGGUGGUUACAUUGUGUCUAAACUCCACAUUAAUUAUUAAUUAAGUAUUAAUUUCCAGC